rnacentral:rRNA from 1 species
GCAGUCGAACGAUGAUGCCCAGCUUGCUGGGUGGAUUAGUGGCGAACGGGUGAGUAACACGUGAGUAACCUGCCCCUGACUUCGGGAUAAGCGCUGGAAACGGCGUCUAAUACCGGAUAUGAGCCGUCCUCGCAUGGGGGUGGUUGGAAAGUUUUUCGGUCAGGGAUGGGCUCGCGGCCUAUCAGCUUGUUGGUGGGGUGAUGGCCUACCAAGGCGACGACGGGUAGCCGGCCUGAGAGGGCGACCGGCCACACUGGGACUGAGACACGGCCCAGACUCCUACGGGAGGCAGCAGUGGGGAAUAUUGCACAAUGGGCGAAAGCCUGAUGCAGCGACGCCGCGUGAGGGAUGACGGCCUUCGGGUUGUAAACCUCUUUCAGCAGGGAAGAAGCGCAAGUGACGGUACCUGCAGAAGAAGCGCCGGCUAACUACGUGCCAGCAGCCGCGGUAAUACGUAGGGCGCAAGCGUUGUCCGGAAUUAUUGGGCGUAAAGAGCUCGUAGGCGGUUUGUCGCGUCUGGUGUGAAAACUCGAGGCUCAACCUCGAGCUUGCAUCGGGUACGGGCAGACUAGAGUGCGGUAGGGGAGACUGGAAUUCCUGGUGUAGCGGUGGAAUGCGCAGAUAUCAGGAGGAACACCGAUGGCGAAGGCAGGUCUCUGGGCCGCAACUGACGCUGAGGAGCGAAAGCAUGGGGAGCGAACAGGAUUAGAUACC